rnacentral:rRNA from 1 species
UAGGGAAUCUUCGCAAUGGACGAAAGUCUGACCGAGCAACGCCGCGUGAGUGAAGAAGGUUUUCGGAUCGUAAAACUCUGUUGUUAGAGAAGAACAAGGGUGAGAGUAACUGUUCACCCCUUGACGGUAUCUAACCAGAAAGCCACGGCUAACUACGUGCCAG